ACCACUGGUAUAGAAUUCAAAUCAAGAUUUCAAACUGGAAGAGACCUUAAAGUGAUCUAGUUCUUUUUUUUUUUUUAUUUAAGAAAUGAAGAAACUGAGGCUGAGAGAGUCUAAUUGAUUGUCCCAGAAUCUUGCUCUGAGAUGCAGCCAAAUAAUUUCCUGACACCUGAUGUUCCAGGGCACCUUUGCACCGACUGUCUUCCAAGUCUAGAAUGAACUACCACCUCCACCUCACAGAAUACCACAGCUCUUCCUUCAAGAUGCAAAUCAGGGAAAAGAAUAAAUGCAAAGGCUGAGGACUGAGCCCCAUUUCUCCUACCAGAGACAUCUUUACCAGGAACAGAGGAGCCUCAGUAGGACUGAAGCAAGACAGACAUGGUGGAAGCAGCCUAGACCGCUGGAAUUGACUACCUCUACAGCCAAUCAAAAAGAAUCGGACUCACUAUGUGUUGGAAUGUGGAUUUCUUAAGAGCAAAGAACAGCUUGAUUUUCCAUUUGUAUUCUCAGCCAGAAAGGACACAGUGACAUCAAGAGAAUUUAACAGAGACUGUCCAGCUGACCACCAGUGAAGAAAUGAUUUGAAGUUCUAUAAAUAUGAGAAACAAGAACAACCAAGAACUUAGCUAUCCACGUGGCAAGAAAGAAAUAUAUGGCUAACCUGAACCCUUCCUUUCUUCAGUAUAAAUCAUUUCAUUUUAGAUUAUCAUCAGUACAUUUGGUCCCACAGAAGCUCUUGUACUAUAAAACUUUAAU